UUUGUAGUUUGACUGUUACUAUGAAGGCCUACAACAACUGCUAGAACUAACACCAAAAAUGAUGUCCUUGUCAUCAUGAGGGAUUGGAAUGCUAAAGUAGGAAGUCAAAAGACAACGAGAAUAUCAGGCAAGUUUGGCCUAGGAGUACAAAGUGAAGCAGGGCACAGGCUGGCAGAUUUUUGUCAAGAGAACAUGCUGGUCAAAACAAACACUCUUCUCCAACAACCCAAGAGACGACUCUACACAUGGACAUCACCAGACGGUCAACACAGAAAUCAGACUGACU